UAUGAUGGCUAUGUGGCUGUUAUUAUUUGGUAGUUCACUCUCUGUUGUUGCAGAAUGCUUUAGUGGCAGGUUCAUUGUUAAAUGGGAUACUCUGUACUGCUAUACAUACUGUUAAUAUUCACAUUUGUCUUUUAGGUUACACGCUUGUUGACAAGAGCAGUUCUUCCAUGUGUGAGGCAUUGGUUCCUGAUUUCUCCACUUUUCCCAGCCCUCAUUUUGACAUCCUCUAUUUCCUGACCAUUACUCAGUUCCAAAAUCCAGUUUCCGAUAUGCGUCGUCAUAAACCAAGACAUGAAGGGUCGCCAGCCACCAAGAGAAGAACUGGUCUACCCUUCCACUGAAAUGCUGAAGAGACUGGGCAAUGCAGACACCACCACCAGGAGUGCCCUACUGCAUGUAAAACAGCAGGGGUGAGUAGGAUCAUAUUCACAACAUUAAAAUUUAUUUUAAGUAUCAUCGACCACAAAUGAAAUUGUACAUCUUCGUUUUAAAUUUCCAUUUAAAUGUUCAAAACAAUAUUGUUUUUAGUAGGGCUAUUAACAUAAUGAAAGAAUUAUGUUAAUGUAAACCGU